UUAAGUUCAGCGGGUAUCCCUACCUGAUCCGAGGUCAAGUGUAAAAAAAGGGCUUCUGGAUGCCAAUGUACCAGCAUAGAGGUCGCAAUGUGCUGCGCUCCAAGCCGAAUUACAUGGCUGCCAAUGACUUUAAGGCGAGUCCACGCGCAAAAGCGGGACAAACACCCAACACCAAGCAAAGCUUGAGGGUUCAAAUGACG
rnacentral:misc_RNA from 1 species